CCAGAGCAUCGAAGCAGGGCUCUGCCUUCUGUGAGUCUGAGUCCAGCUGCUGGAAGCCAAACUUCCUGCAGAGUGAGAACCCAGUAGCCCUUUCUGAGAUGGGGGAGACUGAGACACGGCAUCUUGAAGAAGUGGUUUGCCCAAGAUCAUAGGAGUAGCAAGUGGUGGAAGUAAGGCCAAGUCUCAGGGCUGUCUGACUCUACACUCACAUUAAUUCCCUUCACCGGUGCUGGUGUGCUUCUUGGCAUAAGCAAGGACCCCGUGGCACUGGGGACACAGGGACAUUCAGCAGCCGGCCUGCCCCAUUCCCCUGGGCCCACAGAGCCAUGUGUCCAGAUCCAUGGUUGGGAUCAGUAGUUGCUCAAGAAAUACCCGUUGUGUGGAUGUGUGGACAAGCCCGUCCUGUGCUCUGUGAUGGGAAAGAAGAAUUCAGACUGGCGAGUGCGGGGGUGUCUCCUAGAAGGUGGGGACACUGGCUUCUCGUUCUUCAUCCCUGGCUCCUGCCACAAGCUGGCUUCAUGGACACUCGCUGAGCUCUGCCACCACGUGCUGCCAAGCGUUGCCCUCAAAGAUCACAUGCUCAUCUCAGGAGGUCGACCAGAAACCCUGACGCCCAGAACUCUCACUGAAAGCCUUAACCAAAAUGAUCCCGGAAAACUUACCUAAGGAACACAAUUCUUAUUUUUCUCUAAAAGAGAAGGAAAGGGGCUAUAAGUGAUUGGCCCAAGUUCUCCAGCUAAGAAGCGACAGAAUCAGGGAUCUCUGAUAAUGUGGGAAAACUCAUCCAAACCUGCCCCUCAGCCACCAGCCCCUCUGUUUGCACGGAAGCCAAUUCAGUGUGUUUUAAUAACGCACCAUUCUGCUCAGGGCCAGGCCAGGGCCAGGACACCAAGGAACCAGGCCUGGACCCUGCCUGAUGUCACGUGUGUCAGCUCCCCAGUCGUCGAGGGCUGGCCUGA